rnacentral:rRNA from 1 species
GAGUUUGAUCCUGGCUCAGAUUGAACGCUGGCGGCAUGCCUUACACAUGCAAGUCGAACGGCAGCACGGGGGCAACCCUGGUGGCGAGUGGCGAACGGGUGAGUAAUACAUCGGAACGUGUCCUGUAGUGGGGGAUAGCCCGGCGAAAGCCGGAUUAAUACCGCAUACGAUCUACGGAAGAAAGCGGGGGAUCCUUCGGGACCUCGCGCUAUAGGGGCGGCCGAUGGCAGAUUAGCUAGUUGGUGGGGUAAAGGCCUACCAAGGCGACGAUCUGUAGCUGGUCUGAGAGGACGACCAGCCACACUGGGACUGAGACACGGCCCAGACUCCUACGGGAGGCAGCAGUGGGGAAUUUUGGACAAUGGGGGAAACCCUGAUCCAGCAAUGCCGCGUGUGUGAAGAAGGCCUUCGGGUUGUAAAGCACUUUUGUCCGGAAAGAAAACUUCUGCCCUAAUACGGUGGGAGGAUGACGGUACCGGAAGAAUAAGCACCGGCUAACUACGUGCCAGCAGCCGCGGUAAUACGUAGGGUGCGAGCGUUAAUCGGAAUUACUGGGCGUAAAGCGUGCGCAGGCGGUUCGUUAAGACAGAUGUGAAAUCCCCGGGCUUAACCUGGGAACUGCAUUUGUGACUGGCGAGCUAGAGUAUGGCAGAGGGGGGUAGAAUUCCACGUGUAGCAGUGAAAUGCGUAAAGAUGUGGAGGAAUACCGAUGGCGAAAGCAGCCCCCUGGGCUAAUACUGACGCUCAUGCACG